AUGGAGGAGGGCUACUACUUGUCGUACGCAUCCCUCUGCGGCGCCCUUGCGGUGAUUGUAGCAGGUUGGCUCGUGUACAGGUGGAUGAAUCCUCCGUGCAACGCCGGGAGGCUCCCUCCCGGAUCCAUGGGCUUCCCCCUCGUCGGCGAGACCUUCCGCUUCUUCAAGCCAAGCCCUUCUAUCGACAUCCCAGCCUUCUACAAGCAAAGGCUCAAAAGUGAAGCUCUUGCCCUAGCAGAUGAUCUUGAUAUUCAGAAUAUGGUAGUAGCAUCAGACUGCCAAGAAGUGAUAAAAGAUAUCAACAAGGGGAUGGGAGGUCCUAAUACGGCUAUCAUCUAA
rnacentral:rRNA from 1 species